GCGACAUGAUGCGCACCGAACCCGCCUGAGUCGCUUUGCUUUUCGCUCUUCAUUUUCGACUUGACACUCAAAGCCCACCACAAAACCCUAAUUGGUAAUUGCUGUAGAUCUAAUCCCGCGCCAAUUCUACAUCCAAAUUCAUGUCGUCGACCAUUGCCAGGUCCAUCCUGCGGUUCAGCGCAUCCAGGACCUCAGCGGCGGUAGUGAGGUUCGCCCGUCUUCUCUCCCUUACACAGUUUCAGGCUCGCUAAUUGAAUUUUCUAGAUCACGGCCUCGGAGGAGAUCAUCAGUCUUAGAAAGUCGAUUAACAAGUCUAUCUACCCAUGGUGACUCCAGGCUCCAGCAUCUCCAACAAAGUCUCCAAACGCGCCUCCGAGGAGAUAUGGUGUUUUCAGAAAGUCGAUCUGCGGCGCCUCAAGUCUACAAGAUCACCGCCUCUGAGGAGAUCUGGUGUUUUUAAGGGAAACGAUCUGCAGAAACUCUUAACAAAGUUCUCCUAACGCGCCUCCCGUCCACAAGUUCGCCGCCUCGGAUAGCGCUCAGCUCACCUUGUGUAGUCAAUCUCGGUCUAAGACUCAUCGGCCAGUCACACAUUCAUAUCCCCAAGGACGUCAAAGUGUCAUCUCCACUAAUGAUUCGAGAUUUCACAUGUACAGUUUCUUGGAAGAGGCUCAAGCCAAUAGCUAUUACAUCUCGUGGAUACAGGUGAAAAUGCCCUUUGUCAACUAAAGGGACUCUGGAACUCCACCGCAUCUAAUUACAAUUUUCCGUUUCGGGAGUUACUGCAAGGAAGGCAGGCUUAAUUGGUAAGUUCCUCCUUGGACUGGAUGUUUUUCAUGCAGGAGGUGAUGUAGGCAAGUGCUAGCUGGGAAAAAUGGCCUUAUAGUUGAGGAUUUAACAACUACCUAAACAGUUGAAACAAAAAAGGACUGGAAAACAGAGAUUUUAUAACAAAAAAGUAAUAACCUAAAAAGACAGGUAUGAAGUGUGGGUUAAAUCCUUGGGCGCUUGCAACAGGGUUAUUUUUAGGUGUUUUAAGAAUAUAUCAAAUCUGAAGGCCACCUUAGCCACAGGUUAGUUUAUCUGAGGUACGAUCUUUAAUGGUCAAUGAUCAUUCUAAUGGUGCUGUGAAAUGGUUGCCGAAAUAGCCAAUUGGAAUUAGACCAGACUUAUAAAUUGACCUUUAGUUGCCAUCUAGAAUAUUUUUCUCUCUUUGAGUAAUCUCUGUCAGCAAAUCUAGUGCCGUAGUGCCAUCAUGGUGGGCCUCCCUGGUAAUUGAAGUUGGGCUGUACUUGAACGUAGAACUUGGGCCGAAAUUAUUGAUUCAUUUCAUUGGGCCACGCCCAUCAAAUUUGUGCUUUAAACUUUUUCAUCGGGCUAAUGUCCACUAAUAAUAGGGCUAGGGCCCACCUUAUCAUAUUUGUAAAAAUUUGAAGCGACUUAGACGAACGAUUAAGAAUGAGACGUUUGGUAAAAAA